AACGAACGCUGGCGGCGGGGUUUAGGCAUGCAAGUCGCGCGAGAAAGGGGCAACCCGAGUACAGCGGCGCAAGGGUGAGUAAGAGUUCGUCAACGUACCUUCUUGACGCGGAUAAUUCCUCGAAAGGGGUUGUAAUACGCGAUGAGACCACGCGCCUUCCGGGGCGAGAGGUCAAAGGUCGGGGAUCCUUCGGGACCCGGCGCAGGGAGAGCGGACGAACGCCGAUUAGCUUGAUGGCGGGGUAACGGCCCACCANGGCGAUGAUCGGUAGCCGGCCUGAGAGGGUGUCCGGCCACACUGGGACUGAGACACUGCCCAGACUCCUACGGGAGGCUGCAGUCGCGAAUCAUUCACAAUGGGCGCAAGCCUGAUGAUGCCACGCCGCGUGCGGGAUGAAGGCCCUCUGGGUUGUAAACCGCUGUCAAGGGAGGGGAACCGCGCCGCAUGAAUAGUGCGGCGUCUGACUGCUCUC
rnacentral:rRNA from 1 species